GCCUUCUUAGAAUUGAUUCUGUGCAAGAUAGCCAUCUUUGGUAUUUCAGCUCCUGAGCUUUGAAGACCAGCAGAUGAAGUCCUUUUGUAUUCACCCUUGGUUUCAGUUUGCCUAAUUUGUGAUACUUCUGACGUAGAAUCCUUCUCUUCACUGACAAUUUCAGGUUUAGGAGGCUCUAACUUGCUUGAAACUUCGCCUAUCAUCCCACUUGCAUUGAAUUUGCCAUCAUCAUAGACAUAAGAAUCUUCACUGACCUUGUUUAUCUGGACCUCAUCAAGGCUCACGCCAUUAUCCUGGAGAAAGGAUAAA
rnacentral:misc_RNA from 1 species